GAUUAACGCUAGCGGCAGGCCUAAUACAUGCAAGUCGAACGGCAGCACGGGUAGCAAUACCUGGUGGCGAGUGGCGCACGGGUGCGUAACGCGUAUGCAAUCUACCUAUAACUGGGGAAUAGCCUUCCGAAAGGAAGAUUAAUACCGCAUAAUAUCACGAAGCGGCAUCGUUUUGUGAUCAAAUCUCCGGAGGUUAUAGAUGAGCAUGCGUGACAUUAGCUAGUUGGUGAGGUAACGGCUCACCAAGGCUACGAUGUCUAGGGGGUCUGAGAGGAUGAUCCCCCACACUGGUACUGAGACACGGACCAGACUCCGUACGGGAGGCAGCAGUAAGGAAUAUUGGACAAUGGGCGCAAGCCUGAU
rnacentral:rRNA from 1 species